rnacentral:rRNA from 1 species
UACGUAGGGUGCGAGCGUUAAUCGGAAUUACUGGGCGUAAAGCGUGCGCAGGCGGUUCGUUGUGUCGGCGGUGAAAGCCCCGGGCUUAACCUGGGAAUGGCCGUUGAAACUGGCGAACUGGAGUGUGGCAGAGGGGGGUGGAAUUCCGCGUGUAGCAGUGAAAUGCGUAGAGAUGUGGAGGAACACCAGUGGCGAAGGCAGCCCCCUGGGCCAAUACUGACGCUCAGGCACGAAAGCGUGGGGAGCAAACAGG